GGCUCUGUAGCUCAGUUGGUUAGAGCACUGCACCGGAAUCGCAGCGUCGCGGGUUCGAUUCCUGUCAGGGACC